AAACGAGGAAGGAGGCAAAAGGAGACACAUCGGAGAGCUAAAACAGGAAAUAAGCAACUUUAAGGCAGGAAAACCAAACUUUAUUUGAAAGCAAAUAACUCAAAUAUAAUUAAAAUCUAGAUUACUAAGUAGAAUUUAAGUCUGUUUUAUUUUUAAAAAUGCAGGUUGUAAUAUAAAUAUUUCCAGAGGACAAAAAGCAAACUCACUGAGCUAAUUUUAGCACAGGGUGGAGGAGGAAGAGGAGGAGGAGGAGGGUGUUCUCAUUUAACAAUGGUGACUUAGCACAUCACCAAAUGGUGGAGAACAGAAUUACAGACGACUACAAUCGUGACCUCGUUGAUCCUCAAUGAUAAAUUUACACUGCAAAAACACAAUCUUAAGAAACUAAGAUUAAGUAAGGAAGAAAAGUAGGGGUUUUUUUUUUAAAGAAAAAGGAGUUUUUAGGGUAAAAUUAUCAUUUCAAGAAAGUUUUUCAAUAGCAAAAUAUCAGUAAUCCAAAAAUAUGUUUUAUCUUAAACCAUAAAUUCUUCAUAAUAAUUUUUUUUGUCCAUUUUUUGUUUUACUUAUUUAAAGGGUAACCAAACCCUAAAUCAAGUUUUUUGGGCUUUUGACCUGUUCAAAUGGGGCUUUAAAAGUACUAACUGUGACCAUUUUUGACAAAAUAAAUUGAACUAAAAAUAAAACUGUUGGUAUGCUGGUCCCUACAGGUUGAAGUGAGGUAUUACAGUUGAAAUUGAUAAAUGGUCAAACUAAUGAUCUGCAGCUCCAGUGAUGGUAACAGUAAGUUAAAAAAUAUGCAAUAAAUUUGUUUAAAAAAAAAACAACAACAACAACAUCCAUCUAGGAAAAUCAUGUCUUUAUGUUACAUGGAAAGUUGUAACUCAUUAAACUUUAUACAAUUAAUUUAAAUGAAGAUUUAAAUAAAAAAAAAAAAAAAAACACAGUCACCUAUACUCCUGUUCCCCAGCCCCAACCCUCUGACUGGAUUUUCAAAUUUCGGCUGUGGGUGGAGUCAGCCUCCAACUUCUCUGUUUGGUUACUCUCUAAAGCACGUUUAUAAGUCAAGGCCCGGGGGCCGGAUCCGGCCCUCCAGCAAAGGCCUGCAGUGCUCCCGGGCAUCGCUGUACCCAAACAGAAGUGAGCUGAGCUCCGAGAGGAGGGAAACCUCAGCGAUGCAGAGCAGUGUGAACUCUGCUGCAGGCUGAGUCAUCGGAACCACAGCGAUCACACAAGCUCCCCAGGGUACGCUUUUUCCCCUUUAACAGCAGUCUAACAAUCUGCACAAGGGUCAUUUUUGGCAGACAGAUGCUUACAGAGCUUAAUGUUGGAUUAUGUUUCCAAUGAGCCUGUUAGUGAGUUUAUGAGGACAAAAAAACUCUCUAACAUCAAGAGAUUUAAAACUGCAGCACCUCUAAAUAACCUUUCAUAAAGUUAGUAUUAGUUUUUCAUUCAUCAAAAUCUAUUUGAUGACACUAAAGAUGCGAAAAUUGAACACUCCCCUCCCCCCACCUAAAAAAAAACAAAAAAAAAACCCUAAUAGCUUUUUAAGCUUGGCACAGCUUCUCCGAGAAAAUUACAUCUUCAGGACAAACGAGACAUUCUAGAGGACAUUACUUGUUGCGUUUCCAUCUCACUGGAUGACGUCCAAGAAAAGCUCUCCUCCUUCGUCCUUUGGCAUAAAGCAAGAGAUUAAAUUGUGUUAAGAUGCAGGAAAAGAAAUCUAAUUUAGAGUAGAAGCACUAUUGAGAUCAAAGUGCACUAGCUGGAUCGUAAAAUCUUUACUGUGACAUGGACUAAACCCCUAAAGUGAAGCAUGGGGGGGUAAGUAUGAUGGUACAUACCUGAAAAAGGGAUUACAAUAUUUAGGGAAUUCGAUUAGCAAGAAACUGAGGAUUAAAUCUGCCUUCAGCAACGAUGAGUAUUGCAAAAUAUUUAGUGAUAGCAUAGUAUUUAAGGC
rnacentral:lncRNA from 1 species